UGCAGUCGAACGGUGAAGCCCAGCUUGCUGGGUGGAUCAGUGGCGAACGGGUGAGUAACACGUGAGCAAUCUGCCCCUGACUCUGGGAUAAGCGCUGGAAACGGCGUCUAAUACUGGAUAUGAACCGUGGAGGCAUCUUCAACGGUUGGAAAGAUUUUUUGGUCAGGGAUGAGCUCGCGGCCUAUCAGCUUGUUGGUGAGGUAAUGGCUCACCAAGGCGUCGACGGGUAGCCGGCCUGAGAGGGUGACCGGCCACACUGGGACUGAGACACGGCCCAGACUCCUACGGGAGGCAGCAGUGGGGAAUAUUGCACAAUGGGCGCAAGCCUGAUGCAGCAACGCCGCGUGAGGGAUGACGGCCUUCGGGUUGUAAACCUCUUUUAGCAGGGAAGAAGCGAAAGUGACGGUACCUGCAGAAAAAGCGCCGGCUAACUACGUGCCAGCAGCCGCGGUAAUACGUAGGGCGCAAGCGUUAUCCGGAAUUAUUGGGCGUAAAGAGCUCGUAGGCGGUUUGUCGCGUCUGCUGUGAAAUCCCGAGGCUCAACCUCGGGUCUGCAGUGGGUACGGGCAGACUAGAGUGCGGUAGGGGAGAUUGGAAUUCCUGGUGUAGCGGUGGAAUGCGCAGAUAUCAGGAGGAACACCGAUGGCGAAGGCAGAUCUCUGGGCCGUAACUGACGCUGAGG
rnacentral:rRNA from 2 species